AGUGGCGGACGGGUGAGUAAUGUCUGGGAAACUGCCUGAUGGAGGGGGAUAACUACUGGAAACGGUAGCUAAUACCGCAUACCAUCGGAUGUGCCCAGAUGGGAUUAGCUAGUAGGUGGGGUAAAGGCUCACCUAGGCGACGAUCCCUAGCUGGUCUGAGAGGAUUACCAGCCACUCUUGAACUGAGACACGGUCCAGACUCCUACGGGAGGCAGCAGUGGGGAAUAUUGCACAAUGGGCGCAAUCCUGAUGCAGCCAUGCCGCGUGUAUGAAGAAGGCCUUCGUGUUGUAAAGUACUUUCAGCGGGGAGGCGUUACCCGCAGAAGAAGCACCGGCUAACUCCGUGCCAGCAGCCGCGGUAAUAC
rnacentral:rRNA from 1 species